rnacentral:tRNA from 1 species
GGGCCUAUAGCUCAGGUGGUUAGAGCGCACGCCUGAUAAGCGUGAGGUCGAUGGUUCGAGUCCAUUUAGGCCCA